CCUACGGGGGGCUGCAGUGGGGAAUAUUGCACAAUGGGCGAAAGCCUGAUGCAGCAACGCCGCGUGAGCGAUGAAGGUCUCCGGGUCGUAAAGCUCUGUCCUAAGGGAAGAAUAUUGACGGUACCUGAGGAGGAAGCCCCGGCUAACUACGUGCCAGCAGCCGCGGUAAUACUUAGGGGGCUAGAGUUAUCCGGAAUUACUGGGCGUAAAGGGUGCGUAGGCGGACUGGGAAGUAAGAGGUGAAAGGCGACAGCUCAACCGGAGUAAGCCUAUGAAGCGGAAGGGUGUGAGUGCAGGGGAGGAGAGUGGAAUUCCCAGUGUAGCGGUGAAUGGCUUGGAUAUAGGGAGGAACGUCAGUUGCGAAGGAGGAUCUUGUUGCUGUAACUGACGCUGAGGAAAGAAAGCGUCGGGUGCGAACAGGAUCAUGUGCCGUUGUAGUC
rnacentral:rRNA from 1 species